AUGAUCAGUGAGGCUUCACGCUUCCUGGAGAGCAGUCAGAAUGAGGACAGGAGUCAUCAGAUCCUGAGCCUCACCCAGCUAAAGACACGAUGGCAGGGGACACAGCAGAGGGUCCAGCAGCAAGACAAAUGUCUGGAAGAGCUGAUAGGACAGUGGGAACUCUAUGAGUUCGGCUCGAGGAAACUUUCAAAGCUACUCGGACACAUCGAAGAACUUGUGCCACCAGCAGGACUGGCUCCGUGCAGCUUACAGCAACUCAAAUACUCUAUAAAAGACUUUGAGGUAAGAUUAUUCAGCAAAGAGAAUAUAACUCUUUUAGAUGCUGAUGUUGGACUAUAAAGUCGAAUCCAACAUCAUCAUUAAUAUCUUUCAUGUUAUCUAUCUCUCAGUGGACCGAGGAGCAACUACAGCUUCAUGAAGAACUGUACAGGCAGACUGUGGCAGCAGGAGGACAGAUCCUUCCGCUUUCAGAUGCGCAGACGCAGACAUGCCUUCAGACCGAACUGGAUGCGCUCAAGGAGAUGUGGGAGCAAAGCUGUGGCCUUGUGGGGAAAAGAAAGGCUCUUGCAGACACAAUAACUCAUGUAUGUGACCCAAUUCUUACAUUUCUGGUUAAUAUGUGAAAGUAUUCAUUGACAUAUACUACUGUAAAUGAUUCACGUUUACACUAUGUAGGGAAUAAACUGGUACAGUUUUCAAAAUAUUUCGAAUCUGCCAAUAUUUGGUGUUUUGUUCUGUUAGACGGAUGUUUUGAAUCGUAUUUCUUAGAUAUCGCAAGAAUGUCAAACAAGAAUUAAAAAAUAUGUAGUAUGAGUAUAAGAAGGUUUUGGAUCAGUCCGAUUAGUGCCGACACCCUUGUCUUAUUCAAUUCUUUAUUUGCAUGAACUGAGCAGAAUCACUGGUUAAUAUGGGGGUCUUUCUUAGUCAGCAUUGACCUACAUACCCUGCUGAGCGUUUCACUGAGAAAGUUCUUCAUUUUGAGGAUGAGAGAUCAGACGUAAUCUUUCCAUAAUCUAUAAAUCACACAGAACGAGGGCUUUCAAAACUGCGACUACUAAACCACUGUGCAGUUCAGUGUCUACGUGGGUCAUCUGUCAUUGUUCACACACGAUCCCACAAAGUCCUAAAGUAUAGGUAGAUGUGGGAACAAAGCUUGCAAAGUGCUGUUAUCUAUGUGCCUGGUAACUGUUUUAUAUUCCAUUCUACUUCAUUUUCAAACCUUAAUAAUGUAAGCUCACACAGGCUUCAGUUACAGUUACAGUCGUACCACAGCAUAAAAAGACUUUUGGUGACAAGAUGCAAAUGUAUAAUUCUAUGGAGCACCAUGGAGCACUUGGACCAUAUUUGAAGGAAUAAAUUUGACCAUUGCAAUUGUAAAUUAUUUUAAAGUAUUAACCAGAAAGCAGUGGGGCUCUGUGUCACCUUAAACUAGAGGCUGAUUGUCUGGACUGUUAGAUAUUAUAUAACACCAGUCACGCCCACUCAUAACCAGCUCUGAUUGGCUCUUCUGUUAGGAAUGAUGACAUCAUUGUUUUGAAGGGGGUUUAGAGAGUGAUAUGGUUGGAAGUGUGUUUUGUGUGCGUUUGCUCACAAUGGGAAAUCCCUUUCCCUGAUCUGAGAUAACACUGUAACAGCACCCAAAAUACAAGCACAUCAGUGGCAUUCAUAAUCAGAACUUAUGCAUUUAAAGGAAUGUUCCAGGAUCAAAAAUGACAUAACUGACAUUAUGCCACACAUAUUGUAGGUAGAGCUCAAGACUGUAUUCAGUGCUGGAAAUGCUGUCUUAACUGUAUGAUCUGGUGUUGUUUUUUACAGUGUAGAAUAGAUUGUUGAGGCAAACAUCUUCCACAGUAAUUAAGAGAUGCUGCUGUUUCUUGCAGAACUGGAUGCUCUGUGAAACUGGCCUGGCUGAGAGUGCUCUCAAACUGGAAGAGAUAAAAGCAAGACUGAAGAGUCCACUGCCACUGAAGAUAGAAAAUCUAGAAAUACACAUGCAGCUCAUCAAGGUAAAAUAUUUAUAUAGAAGUAAUAUAUUAAAAUAAGACAUUUUCAUUUAAAAAAAAAAUUUUUAUUUUUUUUUUGGGGGGGGGGGGGGGUAUAGAGGUUAGGAAACAUUGGCAUAGGAUAAAGAUAACUUUUUUUAAACAAUGUAUUAACCAAUUAAAUGUAAGCUAGUUUGUGAUGAUAUUGUGCAGAUGGUGAGAUGCUUUUGCUUAUUUUUUAUUUUUUUGCUUUUGCUUGCUUAAGUUAUUAAUGCAAAAGGGAAACAAACCAAAUACAAAACACUCCUAAAAUUAAUGUACACUACUGUUGAAAUAUUUGGGGUCGGUAAGAGUUUUAAUGUUUUUGAAAGAUGCUCACCAAAGCAUUUUUUUUUUUAUUGCAAAUACAUUAAAACAGUAAGAAUUUCAAUUUCAUUUAUUCCUGUCUUACUGAUUUCAGUAUUGUUUAUUUUGAUAACAGUCUUGCUUUCACAAAUUGCUGUGUAAUAUUUAAUGAAAAAAUAUAUUUAUAUUUAUAUAUUCAAUCAAUCAAUAAAAAAAUUAAAAGCAAUUCCCCUAGUAUCCUCAGACUUUUGGACCCUGCUCUAUGGUGUAAAAUAGCUAACAUUAAAUGUAUGCAUUGUUUACAUUUAAUUGGUGACUCCUCCAAACAUAGUUAAUUGUAGAAAACUGCUGCUUGAAUUGUGCCAGUUUUUAUUAUAUUACAUGAGUAAUUUGUCAUCAACUGGCAGAGACAGUUUAAUUCCCGAUUGGCUUUGAUGACUGUUUAACAAAGUGCUUUUAUCUGCCAAUGAGUUCUGCUGUAUCUUAAUGCACUCAAACUUUUACCAAGGUAAAGAAAAAAAAACACCUGUUGAUAUAAUCAUAUCACUUUAGAAAUGUGUUAAUAGCCCAUAACCCUGCUGAGAUUGGUUUUAUUUCUUGCUGAUUAAGCCCUGAUGAGGAACAGUCCUUCAAUAAAGGUGGGUGAAACUGACAAACAAAGGAAAUAAUAGUGUCUUUAAGAUGUUUGGCCUUUACCCCAACACCCCUUUCCAUGCUGUUAUGGGAAAGGGGAAAGGGGCCCUCCCCUCUCCGCCUCCUCCCCUCCCCCGUCCCGUCCAGCCAGGCCUUAAUCCUGAGCGUUAAUGACAGGGACACAGAGAGAGGGAGAGAGAGGACUAGGGUUAGCGUGCGGCAGAGAAGGGAAGUUUAAC
rnacentral:lncRNA from 1 species